rnacentral:rRNA from 1 species
CGUGUAGGCGGCCGGAUAAGUCGGGUGUGAAAGCCCGGGGCUCAACCCCGGGAUGCCGCCCGAGACUGUGUGGCUUGAGGACGGAAGAGGGGCGUGGAAUUCCUGGUGUAGCGGUGAAAUGCGUAGAGAUCAGGAGGAACACCCGUGGCGAAGGCGGCGCCCUGGUCCGUUACUGACGCUGAGACGCGAAAGCGCGGGGAGCGAAG